CAAAUUACAAGCACAUAAGAAAGAGAAAUAUCAAUAGCGAGUCAGCAUUUGCGAUACUUGUGAAAGACAUUCAACAGGAUAAUACAUUGCAGCCAAAGAAGUCAUGAAAACCGAGCAUAUUAUAUGUCUGACGCUGAUAUCACUUCUGCUUUUGAAUAACCUUCCGGUUGUGAGGUCAAAUAGAUCAUUAUGUCGACGUAUCUUACGUUACGGACGAGUCGAUUGUCGAGAUACAGGAAUAAUAAAAAAAGGACGUGGAAGGUGUGGAAGAAGUGGAAGAAGUGGAAGAAGAGCUUAUGGAAGAAGAACUAAAUCUUGCGCAAUGAUUGGAAGGUCGUGUAGAUGUAGUACAGGUGGCGCAUCGGGAUUUAUCUAAAUUGUGAUCUGGAAAAUCGUCAAGAAUUUUAUAUUGUUGUAAGUAAUACAUUGUACAUUUCAUAUUAUAACAGCUACAGAAUCCCUCGGCAUUCUGCAAAUGAUAUAACACAAAACACAAAACAUGACUAAUCUGCACAUUAAUUUCCCAUGGGUUAAGUAGAAUACAGAAUCACAUGUUAAACCAACUGUUUUAAGAAGUGGGCAAUAUAAAAAGUAAGAUGUGCAUGAUUUAUUGCAGAAACGUUAAUAUACGCGCCUCAUGAUAAUGAAUACAAAAGAAACUGUAAUUCUAGCUGAACUGUUUUAUGGAAUAAAAGAACAAUAAAAUUG